CCUACGGGUGGCAGCAGUGGGGAAUAUUGCGCAAUGGGCGAAAGCCUGACGCAGCGACGCCGCGUGAGGGAUGAAGGUCCUCGGAUCGUAAACCUCUGUUAGUAGGGAAGAACGGUCACUGUGCUAAUCAGCAGUGAAUUGACGGUACCUGCAAAGGAAGCACCGGCUAACUCCGGGCCAGCAGCCGCGGUAAUACGGAGGGGGCGAGCGUUAAUCGGAAUUACUGGGCGUAAAGCGCUCGUAGUCGGUAUGUCAAGUCAAGGGUGAAAUCCCCGCGCGCAACGUGGGAACUGCCUUUGAAACGGGCAGACUGGAGUGUGUGAGAGGAUAGUGGAAUUCCAGGUGUAGGGGUGAAAUCCGUAGAUAUCUGGAGGAACAUCAGUGGCGAAGGCGACUAUCUGGCACAUAACUGACGCUGAGGAGCGAAAGCGUGGGUAGCAAACAGGAUUAGAUACCCGUGUAGUC
rnacentral:rRNA from 1 species